GGGACCUCCUCCACCUCAUCUUAUAGAGGGGAGGCCUACACCUGCCAACAGGUGGGGCACUUAUAACUGGAGCAUUAGUAAUACGAGUAUUUUCCCCGGUCACUCCCCAUGGUAGGUGGUGGUGUAACCGUGUUUAACUACCAGGGGUUUUAUGACACUAUGUCAACAUAGGUCAGCCGAUAGCCAUUGUGUCUAGGUAAUCGGUAGUCACCCAGGCGCCUCAACAAAAUAUUAUAGAAUACUCUGUAGCCAAAGUAAUGCCA
rnacentral:lncRNA from 1 species